rnacentral:rRNA from 1 species
GUGGGGAAUAUUGGACAAUGGGGGGAACCCUGAUCCAGCCAUGCCGCGUGUGUGAAGAAGGCCUUUUGGUUGUAAAGCACUUUAAGCGAGGAGGAGGCUACCGAGAUUAAUACUCUUGGAUAGUGGACGUUACUCGCAGAAUAAGCACCGGCUAACUCUGUGCCAGCAGCCGCGGUAAUACAGAGGGUGCAAGCGUUAAUCGGAUUUACUGGGCGUAAAGCGCGCGUAGGUGGCCAAUUAAGUCAAAUGUGAAAUCCCCGAGCUUAACUUGGGAAUUGCAUUCGAUACUGGUUGGCUAGAGUAUGGGAGAGGAUGGUAGAAUUCCAGGUGUAGCGGUGAAAUGCGUAGAGAUCUGGAGGAAUACCGAUGGCGAAGGCAGCCAUCUGGCCUAAUACUGACACUGAGGUGCGAAAGCAUGGGGAGCAAACAGGAUUAGAUACACUUGUAGUCC